rnacentral:misc_RNA from 1 species
UUUUUUUUAAGUGAAAAAAAAGGGUUUGGUUUUGUCGCCAAUGGAUGUCUGUAAAUUGUAAUCCGUGGAUCUAUAUUUUUUCGGAUUCCAUAAUUUGUAGUUCUGUUGAAGCUAAAUUGUUGUAAGCUGUAGAUACUUCUUUACUAUGUCUUCCUGAUUUCUGGUAUGAUGAGAGAAUCUUGAACUGGAUACAUAAACAAUUGCAGUCACAAACUUGAGGAGGAUUUUCCACAAAUUUGUGAUGCUAUGGCCAAAAAGAAUGCUUCGGGGAGUUCUGUUGUUCGUUACCAUAAAAUUUCACAAAUAGAUGAUGGUUUUGUAGAUCUACAGUUUGAGAAACCUUGUGUGAAAAUUCCCUGGAAAGCCAUCACACUAGCUGUGUUUCUAUUUGUUAUUGGGAUCAUCUUAAUAAUCAUUGGUUCACUUCUACUAACUGGUUACAUUGAUGCCAAGCACACUGAAAGUACGUGGAUUCUCAUUAUUCUGGGUUCCUUAAUGUUCAUUCCGGGUGGAUAUCAUGUGGGAAUUGUUUAUUAUGCAUACUGCAGCUAUCCUGGAUAUUCCUAUGAUGAUAUCCCAGACUUUGAUUAGUACUAAAAUGUAUGGAUGUUGCAACUUGACAUCACCUUCCCAAAUAGUUAAUAAGUGCAAUAUAAUUCUAAAAUAUGGCUGGUACAGUGUUGUUUUGGAGCACUGAAUUUCUUGACCUUGGAGAAAUGUACUUUAUUGGAAAACUUAUAUUUGUAUAACAAAUGUCAAAUUAUUCAUAUACUUGGAAUCUAGUCUUGCACUAUGUACCAAUUUUUUCUUUGUUUGAAUAUUAAUGAUCAUAGAAUGUAUUUAUUAGAAAAGUAAAAUCAGAAAAUCAAAAUGUGAGUAAUCUGUUUUCUGAGAUUUUUGAAUUGUUUUAAUUAUUCUAAAAUGCAACAUCUAGAUAAAGGAUCGGUCGUAACUAAAAAUAGAUGUAGAGAAGAAAAAAUGUUACCUUUUUUUAACUUGUGUAAAUUUCUCCUGUAAAAAGCAUUAUUUCAUUAAAGCAAUGUGUCACCCAGU